CCUACGGGCGGCAGCAGUAGGGAAUCUUCGGCAAUGGACGAAACCCUGAUCCAGCAACGCCGCGUGAGUGAAGACGGUUUUCGGAUUGUAAACUUCUGUUGUUAGUGAAGAAUAAUGACGUUAGCUACUGAACAUGCCAUGGCUAAGUACGUCCAAGCAGCCGCGGCAAUACGUAGGUGGCAAGCGUUGUUCGGAUUUACUGGGUGUAAAGGGAGCGCAGGUGGGAUGCCAAGUCCGAUGUGAAAACUACGGGCUUAACUUGUGGGGUGCAGUGGAAACUGGGUUUCUUGAGUGAAGUAGAGGAGGGUGGAAUUCCGAGUGUAGCGGUGAAAUGCGUAGAUAUUCGGAGGAACACCAGGGGCGAAGGCGGCCAACUGGGCUUUAACUGACGCUGAGGCUCGAAAGUGUGGGGAGCAAACAGGAUUAGAUACCCGGGUAGUC
rnacentral:rRNA from 1 species